CUUUCCCUCUGUCGGCAGGCCUAACACAUGCAAGUCGAGCGGAUGAGGGGAGCUUGCUCCCUGAUUUAGCGGCGGACGGGUGAGUAAUGCCUAGGAAUCUGCCUGGUAGUGGGGGAUAACGUUCCGAAAGGAACGCUAAUACCGCAUACGUCCUACGGGAGAAAGCAGGGGACCUUCGGGCCUUGCGCUAUCAGAUGAGCCUAGGUCGGAUUAGCUAGUUGGUGAGGUAAUGGCUCACCAAGGCGACGAUCCGUAACUGGUCUGAGAGGAUGAUCAGUCACACUGGAACUGAGACACGGUCCAGACUCCUACGGGAGGCAGCAGUGGGGAAUAUUGGACAAUGGGCGAAAGCCUGAUCCAGCCAUGCCGCGUGUGUGAAGAAGGUCUUCGGAUUGUAAAGCACUUUAAGUUGGGAGGAAGGGCUGCUGGUUAAUACCCUGCAGUUUUGACGUUACCAACAGAAUAAGCACCGGCUAACUUCGUG
rnacentral:rRNA from 1 species